AUUGAACGCUGGCGGCAGGCCUAACACAUGCAAGUCGAAGGGUAGCACAGAGAACUUGCUCUCGGGUGACGAGUGGCGGACGGGUGAGUAAUGUCUGGGAAACUGCCCGAUGGAGGGGGAUAACUACUGGAAACGGUAGCUAAUACCGCAUAACGUCGCAAGACCAAAGUGGGGGACUUUCGGGCCUCACACCAUCGGAUGUGCCCAGAUGGGAUUAGCUAGUAGGUGGGGUAAUGGCUCACCUAGGCGACGAUCCCUAGCUGGGCUGAGAGGAUGACCAGCCACACUGGAACUGAGACACGGUCCAGCCUCCUACGGGAGGCAGCAGUGGGGAAUAUUUCACAAUGGGCGCAAGCCUGAUGCAGCCAUGCCGCGUGUAUGAAGAAGGCCUUCGGGUUGUAAAGUACUUUCAGCGGGGAGGAAGGCGGUGAAGUUAAUAACUUCACCGAUUGACGUUACCCGCAGAAGAAGCACCGGCUAACUCCGUGCCAGCAGCCGCCGUAA
rnacentral:rRNA from 1 species